UACGUAAGGUCCGAGCGUUGUCCGGAAUCAUUGGGCGUAAAGGGUGCGUAGGCGGACUGGUAAGUCAGCUGUGAAAGUUUACGGCUCAACCGUGAAAUUGCAGUUGAUACUGUUGGUCUUGAGUAUACAUGAGGUGGGCGGAAUUUGUGGUGUAGCGGUGAAAUGCUUAGAUAUCACAAAGAACUCCAAUUGCGAAGGCAGCUCACUGGGGUAUAACUGACGCUGAUGCACGAAGGUGUGGGUAUCAAACAGG
rnacentral:rRNA from 1 species